rnacentral:rRNA from 1 species
AGGAGUGGAGCCUGCGGCUUAAUUUGACUCAACACGGGAAACCUCACCAGGCCCGGACACCGGAAGGAUUGACAGAUUGAGAGCUCUUUCUUGAUUCGGUGGGUGGUGGUGCAUGGCCGUUCUUAGUUGGUGGUGUGAAUUGUCUGGUUAAUUCCGUUAACGAACGAGACUCUAGCCAGCUAAAUAGGCGUUAUUCCGGUAUCCUGAAGGCUCGUGUCUCUCGUUUUCUGGCGUGUUCUUUUUGUUGUGUAUUACCGUCUAGGCGGUUUGCAUUGCAUUGGGAUGCGUUCAGUGCGGGAGUUCACGGUUUUUACUACCGGCGUACAUAAUAAAUCUUCUUAGAGGGACAGGCGGCUUCUAGCCGCACGAGAAUGAGCAAUAACAGGUCUGUAAUGCCCUUAGAUGUUCUGGGCCG